UAGGGAAUCUUCUACAAUGGACGCAAGUCUGAUGGAGCAACGCCGCGUGAGUGAAGAAGGUCUUCGGAUCGUAAAACUCUGUUGUUAGAGAAGAACACGAGUGAGAGUAACUGUUCAUUCGAUGACGGUAUCUAACCAGCAAGUCACGGCUAACUACGUGCCAGCAGCCGCGGUAAUACGUAGGUGGCAAGCGUUGUCCGGAUUUAUUGGGCGUAAAGGGAACGCAGGCGGUCUUUUAAGUCUGAUGUGAAAGCCUUCGGCUUAACCGGAGUAGUGCAUUGGAAACUGGAAGACUUGAGUGCAGAAGAGGAGAGUGGAACUCCAUGUGUAGCGGUGAAAUGCGUAGAUAUAUGGAAGAACACCAGUGGCGAAAGCGGCUCUCUGGUCUGUAACUGACGCUGAGGUUCGAAAGCGUGGGUAGCAAACAGGAUUAGAUACCCUGGUAGUCCACGCCGUAAACGAUGAAUGCUAGGUGUUGGAGGGUUUCCGCCCUUCAGUGCCGCAGCUAACGCAAUAAGCAUUCCGCCUGGGGAGUACGACCGCAAGGUUG
rnacentral:rRNA from 1 species